rnacentral:sRNA from 1 species
UUCUAGCCCUGAUGGAAGCGGCAUCCUUUUGUUUUUUUCUUUAGAAAAACAAAAGAUACAGCGGACAGCAGGAAUAGCU